CCCAUAGCUCAACCGGUAAGAGCACCCGACUUAUAAUCGGGAGGUUUCGGGUUCAAUCCCCG
rnacentral:tRNA from 1 species